GACGAACGCUGGCGGCGUGCCUAAUACAUGCAAGUCGAACGAGUGGCGGACGGGUGAGUAACACGUGGGAACCUACCCAUCAGAGGGGGAUAACUACUCGUAAGAGUGGCUAAUACCGCAUACUCUUCGAGCGGCUGAUAUCGGAUUAGGUAGUUGGGGGGGUAAAGGCUCACAAAGGCAACGACCCGUAGCUGGUUUGAGAGGACGACCAGCAACACUGGGACUGAGACACGGCCCAGACUCCUACGGGAGGCAGCAGUGGGGAAUUUUGGACAAUGGGGGAAACCCUGAUCCAGCCAUCCCGCGUGUAUGAGAAGGCCUUCGGGUUGUAAAGUACUUUUGGCAGAGAAGCGGUAUCUGCAGAAUAAGCACCGGCUAACUACGUGCCAGCAGCCGCGGUAAUAC
rnacentral:rRNA from 1 species